rnacentral:miRNA from 1 species
AGUAGGGAAGAAGUUAGGGUCACACUUUUUCUCUUCCCCAG